GACGAACGCUGGCGGCGUGCUUAACACAUGCAAGUCGAACGGAAAGGCCCUGCUUUUGUGGGGUGCUCGAGUGGCGAACGGGUGAGUAACACGUGAGUAACCUGCCCUUGACUUUGGGAUAACUUCAGGAAACUGGGGCUAAUACCGGAUCGGAGCUCCUGCUGCAUGGUGGGGGUUGGAAAGUUUCGGCGGUUGGGGAUGGACUCGCGGCUUAUCAGCUUGUUGGUGGGGUAGUGGCUUACCAAGGCUUUGACGGGUAUCCGGCCUGAGAGGGUGACCGGCCACAUUGGGACUGAGAUACGGCCCAGACUCCUACGGGAGGCAGCAGUGGGGAAUAUUGCACAAUGAGCGGAAGCCUGAUGCAGCAACGCCGCGUGCGGGAUGACGGCCUUCGGGUUGUAAACCGCUUUCGCCUGUGACGAAGCGUGAGUGACGGUAAUGGGUAAAGAAGCACCGGCUAACUACGUG
rnacentral:rRNA from 1 species